CAUAAAAUAUAUUUUAGGCGUAGUUCAUUGAGCUUAAAAUGUAAAUAUUAUUUGAAAUUUUCAUAUAAAAUUAGCGUUUAUUUUACAUUAUAGCAAGAUCGCAAUAUUGUCUUAAAACGAUGCUCGAAACUUUUGAACGCAUCUAAAUUCUUAUUCAUCAUUGAAUACAUAGAAAUACAAUUUAUUUGAUUGUGGCAGCACGGAUUACCGAAAAAUCUAUCUGGCUAAUUUCAAAAUGGCAUUAAAAUCACAAAAAAACUUUAAUAAUAUUUACUGCUACACCCAAUCUAGACAAAAAAUCAAGGAAAUUCAUCGUUCGGAAACAUUUUCAAGCAAGCAUAUGAUAACAAUACUCUCAUUUCCUCGAUGAACACUUUUUUGUGGCUCGGAGUGACAGUUUCGUUCUGGCUGGCUAUGACAUUCACAUUUAUUGAGUCUGUUUCUCCCUCCCAGAUGAGAACGUAGGCACUCAGUUUAGCGAAAUACGGGAACCUAUCAUAAAGAAUUAGUUAAUUAUAUUUACUGGAUUGUGAAAGUCAAUAGGUUUGUUCCAGCACACGCUUCAUGCUUCCAGUUGCCCCGGAGCUAACAGGAACAAAAAAAAAACUUGCUCCUAUUUACUCCGGUGCAUACAGGAACAAUUUUCUGUCUGUUUUCCCCGAAAUACUUCCGGUUUCACCUAUAGUAUUGGAACAAACCUAAUUAUUAAGUACUUGCGGAGAAACACGACAAAAUCAAAAAACAAAGUCGGCUACGAUUUUCAGACUUUCACUUAUUUAUUCUUGCAAUUUAUUUCUUUGGAGACCAGAGCAAAAUUUGCAGUUAUAACGCGAAAAAUCUUAGAAAAUCUUGAAAACUCAAAAAUAGAACAAAUUGCUCAAUAACUUUUGCCAUCUUUUCUGCAAGUAUUGUGAUUGUCGAGAAAACAUGGGUUACCCUUGCUACUGUUCUCCGUGCGGUCCCUGUGCUCCUUGUGGACCUUGCGGACCAUGCGGACCCUGUGGCCCUUGUGGACCUUGCGGACCCUGUGGACCUUGCGGACCUUGUGGACCUUGCGGACCCUGUGGACCUUGCAGACCGAGCUAUUGCGAAUGUUUCGCCCGACAGUAUAGCCCGUAUGGUUUGUUCUAAAUCGCGUUUGAAAAUUUGAUUAAAAUGGUGCACGAAACAUCAAAUAAAAAGAGUAAAACUUAU